rnacentral:rRNA from 1 species
AGCGAACGCUGGCGGCAGGCCUAACACAUGCAAGUCGAACGAAGUCUUCGGACUUAGUGGCGGACGGGUGAGUAACACGUGGGAACGUGCCUUUAGGUUCGGAAUAACUCAGGGAAACUUGUGCUAAUACCGAAUGUGCCCUUCGGGGGAAAGAUUUAUCGCCUUUAGAGCGGCCCGCGUCUGAUUAGCUAGUUGGUGAGGUAAAGGCUCACCAAGGCGACGAUCAGUAGCUGGUCUGAGAGGACGAUCAGCCACAUUGGGACUGAGACACGGCCCAAACUCCUACGGGAGGCAGCAGUGGGGAAUCUUGCGCAAUGGGCGAAAGCCUGACGCAGCCAUGCCGCGUGAAUGAUGAAGGUCUUAGGAUUGUAAAAUUCUUUCACCGGGGACGAUAAUGACGGUACCCGGAGAAGAGGCCCCGGCUAACUUCGUGCCAGCAGCCGCGGUAAUAC